AAUCCAUAGGUUAAUGAGGCGAACCGGGGGAACUGAAACAUCUAAGUACCCCGAGGAAAAGAAAUCAACCGAGAUUCCCCCAGUAGCGGCGAGCGAACGGGGAGGAGCCCAGAGCCUGAAUCAGCAUGUGUGUUAGUGGAAGCGUCUGGAAAGGCGCGCGAUACAGGGUGACAGCCCCGUACACAAAAGCGCAUGUGCUGUGAGCUCGAUGAGUAGGGCGGGACACGUGGUAUCCUGUCUGAAUAUGGGGGGACCAUCCUCCAAGGCUAAAUACUCCUGACUGACCGAUAGUGAACCAGUACCGUGAGGGAAAGGCGAAAAGAACCCCGGCGAGGGGAGUGAAAAAGAACCUGAAACCGUGUACGUACAAGCAGUGGGAGCACCCUUUGGGUGUGACUGCGUACCUUUUGUAUAAUGGGUCAGCGACUUAUAUUCUGUAGCAAGGUUAACCGAAUAGGGGAGCCGGAGGGAAACCGAGUCUU
rnacentral:rRNA from 2 species